UACGUAGGGUGCGAGCGUUGUCCGGAAUUAUUGGGCGUAAAGGGCUCGUAGGCGGUUUGUCGCGUCGGGAGUGAAAACACCGGGCUUAACUCGGUGCUUGCUUUCGAUACGGGCAGACUGGAGGUAUGCAGGGGAGAACGGAAUUCCUGGUGUAGCGGUGAAAUGCGCAGAUACCAGGAGGAACACCGGUGGCGAAGGCGGGUCUCUGGGCCGAUACUGACGCUGAGGAGCGAAAGCGUGGGGAGCGAACAGG
rnacentral:rRNA from 1 species